UCUCAAUGCAGUCACGGGAGCAGCGGCUUGUGCCGCUGCGAUGGGAGGCAGCGAGUCUUCCGCUGCCCUCCAAUGAGAAUGGUAGUCCCCUACCCUCCUUACUUCCUUCUCCGGUGGUCGGGGAGAAGAACGGCCGCCCGCGCGAUGUAGGAGAAACCCCGCUCCCGAUCAAAUCAGGGAAGAUGAGAUUUGGGUUUUGGAUG
rnacentral:lncRNA from 1 species